rnacentral:lncRNA from 1 species
GUGAACACUGCUGAACUGAAAAGCUAACACCAACUGCCCUCCCCGCCCCUGCCACACACAAACACACACACACACACACACACACACACGUAAUACCAAACCAACCUCAAACCCCGCAAACUAAAGCAAAGCUAAUUGCAAAUAGGAUUAGGCUCACUCGAAAAUGUGGCUGGGAAGACUGUUUCAUCCUCUGGGGUAAGAGCAGAACCGCGUUCACAGCCAGCAGGCCAGGCCAGUGUUGGUUGAGCACGGAGAGCCCCACACCAUCGCCCCUCCCCAGCAAGUGCUGGACCCCAGGUGGCCUCUUGCAGACGGUCAUUUCACUGAGGAAGGAGAAUAGGGG